GUGGGGAAUAUUGGACAAUGGGCGAAAGCCUGAUCCAGCCAUGCCGCGUGUGUGAAGAAGGUCUUCGGAUUGUAAAGCACUUUAAGUUGGGAGGAAGGGCAGUAAGUUAAUACCUUGCUGUUUUGACGUGACCGACAGAAUAAGCACCGGCUAACUUCGUGCCAGCAGCCGCGGUAAUACGAAGGGUGCAAGCGUUAAUCGGAAUUACUGGGCGUAAAGCGCGCGUAGGUGGUUUUGUAAGUUGGAGGUGAAAUCCCCGGGCUCAACCUGGGAACUGCCGCCAAAACUACUGGGCUAGAGUACGGUAGAGGGUAGUGGAAUUUCCUGUGUAGCGGUGAAAUGCGUAGAUAUAGGAAGGAACACCAGUGGCGAAGGCGACUACCUGGACUGAUACUGACACUGAGGUGCGAAAGCGUGGGGAGCAAACAGGAUUAGAAACCCUGGUAGUCC
rnacentral:rRNA from 1 species